rnacentral:rRNA from 1 species
AUUGGACGCUGGCGGCAGGCCUAACACAUGCAAGUCGAACGGUAACAGGGAGCAGCUUGCUGCUCUGCUGACGAGUGGCGGACGGGUGAGUAAUGUCUGGGAAACUGCCUGAUGGAGGGGGAUAACUACUGGAAACGGUAGCUAAUACCGCAUAACGUCUCGGACCAAAGUGGGGGACCUUCGGGCCUCAUGCCAUCAGAUGUGCCCAGAUGGGAUUAGCUAGUAGGUGGGGUAACGGCUCACCUAGGCACGAUCCCUAGCUGGUCUGAGAGGAUGACCAGCCACACUGGAACUGAGACACGGUCCAGACUCCUACGGGAGGCAGCAGUGGGGAAUAUUGCACAAUGGGCGCAAGCCUGAUGCAGCCAUGCCGCGUGUAUGAAGAAGGCCUUCGGGUUGUAAAGUACUUUCAGCGGGGAGGAAGGUGUUGUGGUUAAUAACCGCAGCAAUUGACGUUACCCGCAGAAGAAGCACCGGCUAACUCCGUGCCAGCAGCCGCGGUAAUACG